rnacentral:rRNA from 1 species
ACGGAGGGAGCUAGCGUUGUUCGGAAUUACUGGGCGUAAAGCGCACGUAGGCGGCCUAUCAAGUCAGGGGUGAAAUCCCGGGGCUCAACCCCGGAACUGCCCUUGAAACUGGUAAGCUAGAAUCCUGGAGAGGCGAGUGGAAUUCCGAGUGUAGAGGUGAAAUUCGUAGAUAUUCGGAAGAACACCAGUGGCGAAGGCGACUCGCUGGACAGGUAUUGACGCUGAGGUGCGAAAGCGUGGGGAGCAAACAGG